rnacentral:rRNA from 1 species
AUGGCUUCAUUUGGUUCCAUGAUGAGGCUACCGUGUGCUAACCCAGAAGACAUGCGUCACAAGUGGGAGAACGCAUCUUUGGACAAGGUGAAGGAGAAAGAUGUUAAGAUUCGGCCAUGUUGGUGUGGAGAUGUUUGCAAGGUGAAGGAGUCCACCGACCGAAAGAAGUCAUGGAUGGAAGGAAGGAGAUAUUUUGUAUGCCCCAACUAUGCUUAUGAUCAUGCGCUUCCAACUCACACCUAUGACCAACCACCGAUAUGCUAG